UUAAAGCUUAUAUAGUCUCAGUGUUAUCUACAGCAAAUCCCAGUGGACACAGUGCAAUUCGAUGUAGGCUCACAGACGUUAGAGGCCAGUGCGUGCUCGUGAGGCCACUGCUUGUUACUUUCACCAUUUGUGUAUGCCUGAUAUUCAAACGGGACGUAUCCUUACGAAUAGACCUACAGUGGAAAACACUUUGUGUAUUACUUACACGAACGGAAAGUGGAAAGGUUAUAACUGUCUUAGGACGCGGAAAAGUUUGACAUAUCAGCCGAAACAACACGUCGUUGGAAUAACGAAUUUGUAAACAUAUUUAUUCCAGAGAUUCAGACAUAGUAACAGUUCCUUUUUAUACCAGUGAAUAAUUUACGGAAUUAUCAGAGUCACGUGGUGCUUCGAUGACAGGUGUGUCCAGAACGCAAGGCCGUUGUUGUUCAAUGUCGACAGUCUUUGUUCCCUGUGGGCUAUCAGUUCAAAUUCAAGAGAUAGUGUAUAUGUGUGUUUAAAGUAACUUAUCUUAAUCAUUAUAAUAUUUUAUUGACUAGUACAGACUAGCAAUACGUGGGGCUAUGAUUUGUAGCUUUUCUGACGUGACCCAGAUGGGUAAGAGAUAUUGCCCUAUUCGCCAAAUAAUUAGGGUAACCAAAUUAAGGAGGACGAGACUGGCAGGGCAUAUAGCACGCAGGAAGUGAGAGAAGAAUACAUAGAAAAUUUCAUCCAAGCAAUAAACCUGUUGGCUCCAUAAAAUACUGAGAAUUUGUUUGCCAACAGUCAGUGGGCUUACAGAUGGCGGUCCAUGGUUUAAUUUACGCAGAGGUCAUACUGCCUCCGUCAUCAGGGC